rnacentral:misc_RNA from 1 species
CAUAUAAAUGUUAUAUUAUCUUGAUUGGAUUUUAACGAUGUGUUGGAAGUAACUUGUUUCCACGGAAUUUUCACGAAAAUAACAUACUUAGUAAGAUAAUUGAUUGUUCAUCAUGGCAAAGUUCAAAACUAAAAACGAUUGGUAAUGGCUAUUUAUUUGAAUUUUUCGCGAGCACUUCGUGUAAAAAAAUUACUUGAAAGUCGAGGAGGAAAGAGGGUGAGAGAAUGUCUAACAGGGAUUCAAUUUCACCGAUCGGUGGUAAAGAACAUCAAUUUUGGAGGUUCGAAGAAGGCAGUUCAUGCUAUUCUGAUUCUCUCUUACAAGCCCGAACAUCGAGUACGAAUACAAGAUGGCAUAUCAUUGGCGAACGAUGCGGAACGUUAUAGUUUAUUCGGUGGUAUUUUAAUCGUAGCUAGAAUUUUUAUGAUAGGAUCUGUCAUCGUUGGACUAACCGUUGCAUACUUUGUUACACGUUUUACACAUGAACACGUAUUUCCGACAAUUCUGCGAAAAAGUAUCGAAUUCCUUGGGCCGAUUUUUAUAAAAUUUGGUCAAUGGGCAUCUACGCGAAAGGAUUUGUUUCCUGAGAAUAUUUGUCACACGCUUUCGCAACUGCAACGGACCGCUUCUCCUCAUUCCUGGAUCUAUACCAAGCAAUUGCUCCAAUCUAUUUACGGUUCAAACUGGAAUAAAGUAUUCGUAAAAUUCGAAGAUGAAUCACCAAUAGGAUCAGGAUGUUGUGGUCAGGUAUACAAGGCAUGGGUGGAUCUGAAUGCUCGACUGGAAGUAACGCAGGAACCACAAAUAUCUGCAUUCGUUCGAAUUGUAGAAUAUUUCAAACUCGGCUCGCUCGUCACCUACAUCGGUAAAAAACUGAAUGGAAACGACGGAAUCGAACGUGAUUAUAUGUAUAAAAGAAAUUUGCAACCAGUGGCAGUAAAAGUUUUGCAUCCCGGAAUUAAAGAACAAUUGAGGUACCUUACCAAUCGAAUUUUCUUUAAACAUUCUUAUCGAUUGAUCUUUAAACGAUCGUUUACCCAACGACGUUCUCUUCUUUCUUUUAGAAGAGAUCUUUCUAUCAUGAAAGGAAUUUGUAAAUGUGUCACAUACAUAAUGCCACAAUUAAAAUGGCUUAGUUUGACCGACUGUAUCAACGAAUUUUCGCAAAUAAUGGAAAAUCAAGUUGACAUGAAUUUGGAGGCCGCGAAUCUAAUUAAAUUUUCGCGUAAUUUUGAUAAAAAGAAAGACGUCGUUUUUCCACGACCUUACACAAAUUUCACGCAACGCGAAAUACUCGUAGAAAGCUAUCACGACGGUGCCCCUAUUACCGACUAUGUCAAAUACGACGAUACUAAAUUCCAAGGAAUACUAGCUAAAAUAGGAAUCAAAACAAUUUUGAAAAUGGUAUUUAGUGAUAAUUUUAUUCAUUGUGAUUUACAUCCUGGUAAUAUAUUGGUGCAAACGAAUUACGCACCAACGAGAAAAACUGGUGCUUGGUUUUGGAAAUAUAUCGAUCGUAACCAACCACGUUUAGUCAUUCUCGAUUGCGGCUUAGUGGUAUCCCUGAACGAUCGCUGUCGGCAAAAUCUGAAAGACGUCUUUCGUUCGGUGCUCAUGGGCGACGGUGAAUUGGCAGCAGAAUACAUCCUGGAUCAUAGUUCACACGCGUCUCCAGAUCCAGACGGUUUCAAGCGUACGAUAAAGGACAUUGUGAACACGCAUCGUGAGAGUAGAAUGAACAUGAACGUAAGCACCAUUGUAACCGAAUUAUUCAACGCGAUGAUUCGCUAUAGAGUUAAACAGGACGGAUCCUUUAGCAGCGUGAUAUUGAGCAUUGCAGUGAUCGAAGGUCUCGGACGAAGUUUGGAUCCAAAUAUCGAUAUUUUCACGGAAGUUGUACCAUUCAUUUUCGUCGAUACGAUUUACAGUGAUCAAAUUUGAAGACAUCGAAAGUGCUUUGCCAUCGCAAAGAAAAUAAGUUCGAAUAAUUUUAUGGACGAUAAAUUGUUCGAUCGAACGCACGUGGUCGUGACUAACAGAGAUAAAGAAGAACAUUCCUAUUCUACGAAUCUCUGGCCUUAAAUGGAUCUUAAUAUCUAUACUUCAAGCUCUUUGGUGUACUUAGUCAUAAGCAGAUGGUACGAAAGACGCGAUCGUUGAGACGUUAAAAAGCAGAAUUGCAGCGCGUAAUCGCGACAAACAGAAUUCCGGCGAGUGACCAGUUUGUUGGCGAUCGCUUCCUGGUUGGUUGACCAUCUUCGGUACGCCGUGGCCGCGUCGAACUGAUACACCAUUCGUACUCGCAUGUACACGCGCAACCGUUCCGUACCGUUGCACGCUGCUGCCCUCAGAUUAUUCCCGUAUACCGUAUACAUGCCAUUUUUACCUACACAAGCAUAUUUGCUAACGGGACCUUUCCGAAUCUUCUGGUGGAACGGUUACGUCGUAUAUUUUGCUGCAGCGAAUUUAAUACGAUUAGCGCAACAAACAUUCUUGUAAAAAUUUUUCUUCGAUUUCUAUCUUUUGUAAUUUCUAAACGUUACGUUAGUCCGCAACGUUGUCGCGAUAGUUCAAAUGAAUGACUAUUGUAAUAAAACGAAGUCGAAGCAUUUGUCAUCGAAAUUCGGUGACUCCUCUUUAUCUUGUCGGAACACGAACUUGUUUUAUUUAAUUUCGUUCGAAGCUAGCUCCGAUCGGUGUACGUUCACGCUUGUUACGAAUACAUCUACCUUAUUUCCCCUUACUGAAUCUAGUUUGUUCUAUGCGAUGCGGUUCGUUGCGGUCUUAUCGUAUGUUUAUCAAAAGGAGAAGAAACAUUCAACUUGGAUAUAUUUUUAUUUAUUUUUAUUCUUAAUCGCGUAACGAUGACUUCUUUGUUCUUAUUCGAUCAUGAGUGUUUCUUCUUUUCUUCUCCGCGAAGAAUUAUAAAUACGCGCAAAUGUACGCUGUAAAUUUUGUUUCAAAUGGUCAAUGAUAUCGACGAGAUUCGACAAACGAGGAAAUCGAUCGAAAGUUACCAAGCAUGUAUCGAAUGUAACCGGUCAGUGAAUCCUCGCAUUUCUGAAAGUUCGUCGAUCGCGAUGUCUUGUCGCGCCAUCUGUCGAACGUUCCACGAUUGUUCUAGUGCCGAAUCUCCCCUCCAAGAAGUAAUUCGUCGACAUAAAUCGAUGUCUUAUCGAAAGGCGCGAUCGGUGUGAAACUACUAUUCAUCGUCAUUAGCACCAUCAUCGCCGCCA